GGUCGUGGCUCAGCGGUAGAGCACUCACCUCACAUGUGCGAGACCCUAGGUUCAAUUCUUAGCACCA
rnacentral:tRNA from 1 species